rnacentral:rRNA from 1 species
CGCGGCCUAUCAGCUUGUUGGUGAGGUAAUGGCUCACCAAGGCGACGACGGGUAGCCGGCCUGAGAGGGCGACCGGCCACACUGGGACUGGGACACGGCCCAGACUCCUACGGGAGGCAGCAGUGGGGAAUAUUGCACAAUGGGCGAAAGCCUGAUGCAGCGACGCCGCGUGAGGGAUGACGGCCUUCGGGUUGUAAACCUCUUUCAGCAGGGAAGAAGCGAAAGUGACGGUACCUGCAGAAGAAGCGCCGGCUAACUACGUGCCAGCAGCCGCGGUAAUACGUAGGGCGCAAGCGUUGUCCGGAAUUAUUGGGCGUAAAGAGCUCGUAGGCGGUCUGUCGCGUCGGAUGUGAAAGCCCGGGGCUUAACCCCGGGUCUGCAUUCGAUACGGGCAGACUAGAGUGUGGUAGGGGAGAUCGGAAUUCCUGGUGUGGCGGUGAAAUGCGCAGAUAUCAGGAGGAACACCGGUGGCGAAGGCGGAUCUCUGGGCCAUUACUGACGCUGAGGAGCGAAAGCGUGGGGAGCGAACAGGAUUAGAUACCCUGGUAGUCCACGCCGUAAACGGUGGGAACUAGGUGUUGGCGACAUUCCACGUCGUCGGUGCCGCAGCUAACGCAUUAAGUUCCCCGCCUGGGGAGUACGG